rnacentral:rRNA from 1 species
GACGAACGCUGGCGGCGUGCUUAACACAUGCAAGUCGAACGGAAAGGCCCUGCUUUUGUGGGGUGCUCGAGUGGCGAACGUGUGAGUAACACGUGAGUAACCUUCCCUUGACUUUGGGGUAACUUCAGGAAACUUGUGCUAAUACCUGAUAGGAUCUCCUGCUGCAUGGUGGUGGUUGGAACGUUUCGGCGGUUGGGGAUGUACUCGCUGCUUAUCAGCUUGUUGGUGGGGUAGUGGCUUACCAAGGCUUUGACGGGUAGCCGGCCUGAGAGGGUGACCGGCGAAAUGGGGACGGAGAGACGGCGCAGAAGGGAACGGGAGGCAGCAGUGGGGAAUAUGGCACAAUGGGAGGAAGCAUGAGGAAGAAAAGCAGGGUGAGGGAUGACGGCCUUCGGGUUGUAAAAAGAAGGAGAAUGUGACGAAGAGUGAGUGACGGUAAUGGGAAAAGAAGCACCGGCUAACUACGUG